CAAUAUUUAAAAACCGCAACUCGGGUUUUUUUUAAAGUCUUGAAAAUUUUUAUAAGUGCACUUCUUUUCGGGCUAGUGUUAAUAUAGUUAUAGACAUCUCUGAUUAAAUCUGGAGGAGGCACAUAAAUGAAAUGAGUAACAGAUGCAUUUGACUAAAUAUAAAUACGGAAUAUCUCUUUGAAACCGUGUUGAUAAAGAGUUGAAAUGACCCAUCAUGAUGUUUGCACUAUCCUGCAAACCCAAUCAUGUUUUAUUUGUAAGAAAUGUCAUUCUCGUUAAAGAACAAUAUUAUGUGUUCAUAGAGUGAGCUGUAGCAUCUUCAAGAAGUAUGAGACCCAAAAAUGAGUCAACUACAUUGUGGUCUUUAUACACUCGUGUGCAACUGAAUCGAUUCAAGCCGUAUAUUGGUAUAAAAGUUAGAUUUUUAGGAAAAUGGCUUAGCCGAUUUUCUUGUUUUUUUUUUGUUUGUUUGAAAGCCUAAUCUUUUCUCUUAAAAAUGCUAUCCUUAUUGAGAAAAAUCGGUUGAGUAUUUAUUGAUAAAACUUAAUUUGACAGAAAUACAUAAAAACUGAAGAAAAAUGAAAACAACAACAUAAUGAAUAGAAAAAUUAUUUUUGAUAAACUAAAGAAAAUUUAAAUUUUCAAUACUUUGUAUAGCUUUUAUAACAAUUCGCAUGCGAUUUUUCAUUGAUUUUAUCAAUUUUUUGAUAAAAUCUUGAGCUAUCGUAUUCCUAUCUUCCACUAGCGCAGUUUUGAGCUCGACGAUUCUAGAUGGAGCCUUAUCUCUAACUUGCACCCUCCGUUUGAGCACGUCCCAUAAAUGCUCAAUGCAAUUCAGAUCAGGACUGAGGACUGGCCACAUAAUCGUCUCAAUUUGCAUCUCUUGAACUCCCUUUUUUUUGUUUCAAAAUCGUCUGUAUUUUCUCAUUCCAUCACCAUGUAUCCUUGUUUAUCUUCCUUUUUCCUUUCGUUUCCCCAAAGACAUCCCUUGCUUACACUUCCUACCCACGUUGCCAUCUCACUCCAGCACUCGUUUACUCCUAUCUCCGUCAUAUCUCCCAUCUCUAUCAUUUUACCAACAACUCUUACCCUGAAUUCUGCAGCCAUCUCCCUAUCAUCCACUUUGUAUCAUUUCUUUCUAACUGGGGGCUUCGGGCUCUUAUUUAAACGCUGAACUUCCAGGGUUAAAUCCAGGAGCAGUAGCCUAUGCUGGGAAACAAGGCUCUCACUCGGUAUUACCUUGCAGUCUUUGGCCGAUUUUAGCCUGUUUCUUCUUAAAAUAAUAUAGUCAAUAUGGGUAGAGUGUAGACCAGUACGGUAUGUUAUAAGAUGUUGUUCCCGUUUUUGAUAGAACGUCUUGGCUUUUGCUAAGUCAAAGGCCAAGGCUGCUUCCAGUAGAGCUUCGCCGUCUCGGUCCGUGACCUCGGCCCCCAUGCACUCUCUCAUA
rnacentral:misc_RNA from 1 species